rnacentral:rRNA from 1 species
AUUGAACGCUGGCGGCGUGCUUAACACACGCAAGUCGAUCGGUAACAGGUGUAGCAAUACAUGCUGACGAGAGGCGGACGGGUGAGGAACGCUUGGGAAUCUGCCUAUCAGCGGGGGACAACCCGGGGAAACCCGGGCUAAUACCGCAUACGCUCUACGGAGGAAAGCCGGGGACCGCAAGGCCUGGCACUGAUAGAUGAGCCCAAGUAGGAUUAGCUAGUUGGCGGUGUAACGGCCCACCAAGGCGACGAUCCGUAGCUGGUCUGAGAGGACGAUCAGCCACACCGGAACUGAGACACGGUCCGGACUCCUACGGGAGGCAGCAGUGGGGAAUAUUGGACAAUGGGCGAAAGCCUGAUCCAGCGACGCCGCGUGGGUGAAGAAGGCCUGCGGGUUGUAAAGCCCUUUCGGUAGGGACGAAAGCUCUCGACCUAACACGUCGGGAGGUUGACUUAACCUACAAAAGAAGCACCGGCUAACUCUGUGCCAGCAGCCGCCGUAA